GACGAACGCUAGCGGCAGGCCUAAUACAUGCAAGUCGGACGGGAUCUGGGAGCUUGCUCCUAAUGAGAGUGGCGCACGGGUGCGUAACACGUAUGUAACCUACCUUAGUCAGGGGGAUAGCCUCUCGAAAGAGAGAUUAAGACCGCAUAACAUUAUUAAGUGGCAUCAUUUAAUAAUCAAAUAUUUAUAGGACUAAGAUGGGCAUGCGGAACAUUAGCUAGUUGGUAGGGUAACGGCCUACCAAGGCUACGAUGUUUAGGGGAUCUGAGAGGAUGGCCCCCCACACUGGUACUGAGACACGGACCAGACUCCUACGGGAGGCAGCAGUAAGGAAUAUUGGUCAAUGGGCGGAAGCCUGAACCAGCCAUGCCGCGUGCAGGAAGACGGCCCUACGGGUUGUAAACUGCUUUUAUACGGGAAUAAACCUACUUACGUGUAAGUAGCUGAAUGUACUGUAAGAAUAAGGAUCGGCUAACUCCGUGCCAGCCGCCGCUGUAA
rnacentral:rRNA from 1 species